CAUAAGAUUGUACCAAGUUUUCCUUUCCAAGUAUUUUCUUGGUACUCUCUAAUGAAGACGACUUAUUUGUCUUUUAUUUUAUACGCGUUGUUAUCCAAUAAUAGAAGGACAAUAUAAAGCCCUUCUCAAUAGUCUCAUAAAGACAUCCAAGAAAUCUUCUAAUUAACCAACCAGUGAUCAAUACCAUGGCAGAUAUAAUUUCCAAAGUGUGUGCUGAAUACGAAGAUUUUCGCGCUCUCAUGGUAUCAGAUGACGAGUGUGCAGAGGAACUGCAGUUCCAAGAAGUUCUUGCAGAAUCCUUCAGUAGCUUCCAUCUUCACAUGUCAUCAACAAAAAUCCAAGAAUCCCCUGAAUCAUCUCAAGGUUACUGUGAAAUUUGCAUGGAUACAAAAGUUACAAAUGAAAUGUUCAAACUCGAGAAUUGCUCUGAUCACUCUUUCUGUUCUGAUUGCAUAAGCCAAUAUGUCCAAUCCAAGAUUCAAGAACACAUUUUCCCUGUCACUUGUCCAGGUUUGAAGUGUCGCGCGAUAAUUGAGCCUGUUUCUUGUAAAUCCAUCAUUCCAGAAAUUGUAUUUGAAAAAUGGGCAGGUGGAUUGAGCGAGGCGACUCUUCUUGCUUGUGAGAAAUUUUAUUGUCCUUAUAAAGACUGUUCAGAGUUGCUUAUUUAUGAUCAAGAUCAGGACAUAAUUGAGUGUGUAUGUCCUUCGUGCCAAAGGCUGCUCUGCGCGCCGUGUGGUGUCCCUUGGCAUACUGGGGUUGAUUGUGACAAGUUCCAAAAGGAAGAAAAAAACAGAGAAGAUGAUUUAAAGGUUGAGGAACUUUCUAAGAAGUCUAAUUGGAUGACAUGCCCUCAUUGCAAACACCUUGUGCAGAAGGCUGAUGGCUGUAUACACAUAACCUGCUGGCGGGAUCCAAACCAUUUUGCAGAGACAUCUUAUCAGCUGCCAGGAGACAUGAGCAUUUUAUGCAAGGAAAGCACAGAGUUGGACUCAUGGAACUUACAUCAAGUUUACCAAGCAAAGGCUGGAAAUAGCUUAUGUUACAAUGACUGCCAAAUCUGAGAUUGUUUUUCCCUUUAUUUUAGCUAGGUACCGAAGCAAGUUAGAUAUUGGAACACUUCUCUUUUGCUUUAGCCAAAUUGCGAAAUAAAGAAUAUGGAGUUUUCCGGUGGACACACAAAUUCUGAAUCUGAGGAAUAAGACAUGCACAAAAGACAAAAAGCUUGACAAGAAGUGUCUUGAAGAGGUAUGAAUUCACAUAAUCAAGUUAGACAUCCUUCCUAGCCAGUUAUGACAAAACCUGCGUACUUCUCAAUUUUCUGGUGUGCAAAUAUGUAUCAGCUAUGCAACCCAAUUGACCCGUCGAUGUACAAAAGAAGGAGGCCAACUGUACUAAACAAAGUUAAAUUAAUAACAUUUACAAUCUCCAUUUAAAA